rnacentral:tRNA from 4 species
UAGUCCGUACGGGAUUCGAACCCGUGUUACCGCCGUGAAAAGGCGGUGUCUUAACCCCUUGACCAACGGACC